AGACACAAUCAAGGAUGGAACUCGUCUCUUCCUCCUUGAUGAAGGAAUUCGUAGACAGCUUCUUCUUGCUCUUACUGAAGACUCAAAACUUCAUAUACAAGAGCUUGUAGAUGUGUACAGACUGCUCGAGGACCAGAUUGAUGUACCUUCAGUAGCUCUGCAAGUUGCACAAGAUCUUCCUUCUGUUGCUCGGGAUGUAAUACUUUCGUGGAGCGCGUCAGUGUUAUCCGAGAGAUGAGCUCAUCUUUUGGUAUUUUAUUACUUCUCCCUGCCUAGAAUCUCAUGUUUUCUUUUUGUUGCAGGGUGUAUAUCAGUUUAAUUAACAUUUGUACAUAAACAUCAAUUUUCUGUAUAUAGAAAUACCAUAAUGUAAGUAAAUGAGGUGGUCAAUCUAUGGAGAGACGUUAUCUGCUUUAUAGAAGUAUUUAAGGGUUUAUUUUUCAAA